UACAGAGGGUGCGAGCGUUGUCCGGAAUCACUGGGUUUAAAGGGUGCGUAGGCGGGCAGGUAAGUCCGUGGUGAAAUCUCUGAGCUUAACUCAGAAACUGCCAUGGAUACUAUUUGUCUUGAAUGUUGUGGAGGUAAGCGGAAUAUGUCAUGUAGCGGUGAAAUGCUUAGAUAUGACAUAGAACACCAAUUGCGAAGGCAGCUUACUACACAAAUAUUGACGCUGAGGCACGAAAGCGUGGGGAUCAAACAGG
rnacentral:rRNA from 1 species